GGCAUGGCAUAGUGGUUUGAGUGUCAGACUAUGACUCUGGAGACCAGGAUUUGAAUCCCCGCUGAGCCA
rnacentral:tRNA from 1 species